UUACCUCUGAAUCUGGAUGCUGAGCCUGAGAUGUCCACCACAGUAGUGGAUGAUCGGUUGAUUGUAAGGAUGAAAACCUUCUAAGCCAUUUUUGUCUGGUCUCACCCCGGCUCCCACAGGACUUCACUAUGACCCUGUACCUGCGGCAUUACUGGAAGGAUGAGAGGCUAGCUUUCUCCAGCGCCAGCAACAAGAGCAUGACCUUCGAUGGCCGGCUGGUGAAGAAGAUCUGGGUCCCUGAUGUUUUCUUUGUUCACUCCAAAAGAUCGUUCACUCAUGACACCACCACUGACAACAUCAUGCUGAGGGUGUUCCCAGAUGGACACGUGCUGUACAGCAUGAGGAUUACGGUCACUGCCAUGUGCAACAUGGACUUCAGCCACUUUCCCCUGGACUCCCAGACCUGUUCUUUGGAGCUGGAGAGCUAUGCCUAUACAGAUGAAGAUCUGAUGCUGUACUGGAAGAAUGGGGAUGAAUCCCUAAAGACAGAUGAGAAGAUCUCCUUGUCUCAGUUUCUGAUUCAGAAAUUUCACACAACUUCCAGACUGGCCUUCUACAGCAGCACUGGCUGGUACAACCGUCUGUACAUUAACUUCACGUUGCGUCGCCACAUCUUCUUCUUCUUGCUGCAAACAUAUUUCCCUGCCACUCUGAUGGUCAUGCUGUCCUGGGUGUCCUUCUGGAUUGACCGCAGAGCUGUGCCCGCCAGAGUUUCACUGGGUAUCACGACGGUGCUGACCAUGUCCACCAUCAUCACGGGCGUGAACGCCUCCAUGCCGCGCGUCUCCUACGUCAAGGCCGUGGACAUCUACCUCUGGGUCAGCUUUGUGUUCGUGUUCCUCUCGGUGCUGGAGUACGCGGCUGUCAACUACCUGACCACCGUGCAGGAGCGCAAGGAACGGAAACUGCCGGAGAAGUUCCCGUGCAUGUGUGGAAUGCUUCAUUCAAAAACCAUGAUGCUGGAUGGAAGCUACAGUGAGUCUGAGGCCAACAGCCUGGCUGGGUACCCCAGAAGUCAUAUCCUGACGGAAGAAGAAAGGCAAGACAAAAUAGUGGUCCACCUGGGCCUGAGUGGUGAAGCCAACGCUGCCAGAAAGAAGGGGCUUCUGAAGGGCCAGAUGGGUUUUCGUAUCUUCCAGAAUACCCAUGCCAUUGACAAAUACUCUAGGUUGAUAUUCCCUGCCUCCUACAUAUUUUUCAACUUAAUUUAUUGGUCAGUGUUUUCCUAGGGGCUCCAAGGCUGUUCCUAGAAGAGGGCAUAGACAUCGAGGGGGCCUGGCCAGUCAUUGACAGAUGGACUUGUCGACCACACGCCCCUCACCAGACAAUGCAGCAGCUACUAGACCACCCUGAGCAGCACUCAUCUCUCAGAGAAGCCCAGAAGCCUUCCAGCUGCCCUGACCCCAGACCUCGUGGGGCUGCUCCAGGUUCAUGCUAUGUCUCGCAUCACACUUCACGUCUCUCUGGGACCUUCUGUUCUUGUGUGUGAACUAGUUCACAAGAACUCCCCUCCUAUAAACAGGGACUCAAAUGCCUCCUAGACAUUCUUAGACCCUCAGAUUGCCUAGGAGUCAGUUGUGGAGGGAAAAGGAAAAACUGAAGUGCAAGCUUAGGGGCAUUCUGGAUAGGAGAUAGGAAAUUAAGAACAAAAAACACCCUGUAAACCCAUUGAACUGGAUUAAGUGCCUACCUA
rnacentral:sRNA from 1 species